ACUGCUUCAAGAAAUAUCGAUUUUUUAAUCGACAUCUUAGAUUUUUAUUGCUCUGUGGAAUAAAUGUUUAUUUAUUUAUUUAUCAAUUGAUAUUAAAUGCCAAGGCAGAUAUCUCAUUUUUCCGCGCAUCUCAUUAUGAACAUGGGUAUAAAUAUCAAAGAUUUUCUGCAGUUGUUACUUUCACUCACGAUAGGAACAUCGUUGUUUAAAUAACUUACUUUCAAUUACCGACUAAUUUUUGAAAAUGGCAUCAAAAUUAUUUUUGAUUAUUUUAUUAAUUGCACUUCUGACAAUCGGCGCAAAUGCUGCAGGCUACGGUGAAAGGUGUAAUAUACCCGAGAAAGUGUUCUGCUCUGGUGGCUAUACAUGUACAGCAUCAAUUAGAGGAGAUGGAAAAUGCGUUUUUGACUAAGACUUGUUUCGUACUACUUGACUACAAUUACAGUUAUUGCGGAAAAAUUCAACUUGUUUGUGAUUGUUAUGAUUAUUUCUGAGAAGAGCAGUAAAUUUCCGUUAAUUUGAGUACCCACAACCCAUACUUGUUUUUUAUUAAUUUCUAAGUUGUACAACAUGGACACUAUUUUGAAAAAAUGGAAAAAAAUUAUGUUUAUUAUAUUUUGGAGCUCAUAUUAGUGUAAAGAUUAUGAUUUCUGGUCGAAAGAGUACCCACAAGCCGCAUUUACUGUAAUUAUUUAAAAA